GCGGUACCGGUUCACGCCCCCGGCGCUCACAGCUCAGUAGCGUUGCGAACGCCGCCCGGCGACCCGGCGACC
rnacentral:ncRNA from 1 species